GGAGCCAGCCCUUCCCAUGUAUGCAACUGUGAACAUGAUAAAUGCUAAUCUUUAUAUAUAUAUAUAUAUAUAUAAAAGAAACCCACUCUAGAGUUCCAUUCGAGGUAGAGCUUCGUGUAGUGUUUUUGCUUAGCAAAUAUUCUUGUGAUUUUGAAGCUGGAUUUUGAAUUGAGUGGCUGUUUAUUAUUUGAUUGUUGGAUUCUUUCGUGGAUGUGAACUAGUGUGGAAGGUGAA
rnacentral:lncRNA from 1 species